rnacentral:rRNA from 1 species
UUCCGGUUGAUCCUGCCAGACCUGACUGCUAUCGGAUUGAUACUAAGCCAUGCGAGUCAUUGUAGCAAUACAAGGCAUACGGCUCAGUAACGCGUAGUCAACCUACCCUAUGGACGGGAAUAACCUCGGGAAACUGAGAAUAAUACCCGAUAGAACAUUAUGCCUGGAAUGGUUUAUGUUUCAAAUAAUUUAUUGCCGUAGGAUGGGACUGCGGCCUAUCAGUUUGUUGGUGAGGUAAUGGCCCACCAAGACUAUUACAGGUACGGGCUCUGAGAGGAGUAGCCCGGAGAUGGGUACUGAGACACGGACCCAGGCCCUAUGGGGCGCAGCAGGCGAGAAAACUUUGCAAUGUGCGAAAGCACGACAAGGUUAAUCCGAGUGAUUUCUGCUAAAGGAAUCUUUUGUCAGUCCUAGAAACACUGUUGAAUAAGGGGUGGGCAAGUUCUGGUGUCAGCCGCCGCGGUAAAACCAGCACCUCAAGUGGUCAGGAUGAUUAUUGGGCCUAAAGCAUCCGUAGCCUGCUUUAUCAGUUUUCGGUUAAAUCCACACGCUCAACGUAUGGGCUGCCGGGAAUACUGUAAAGCUAGGGAGUGGGAGAGGUAGACGGUACUCGGGAGGAAGGGGUAAAAUCCUUUGAUCUCUCGAUGACCACCUGUGGCGAAGGCGGUCUACCAGAACACGUCCGACGGUGAGGGAUGAAAGCUGGGGGAGCAAACCGGAUUAGAUACCCGGGUAGUCCCAGCUGUAAACUAUGCAAACUCAGUGAUGCAUUGGCUUGAUGCCAAUGCAGUGUUGCAGGGAAGCCGUUAAGUUUGCCGCCUGGGAAGUACGUACGCAAGUAUGAAACUUAAAGGAAUUGGCGGGGGAGCAC